rnacentral:sRNA from 1 species
GUAGCCAAUGACAUUUUGUAUUUUUCAUUUAGCUUGUAACACUUCAAGAAGCAAAACUGCUGCUAAACGAAGAUGAUUACCUUAUUAAAGCUGUAUAUGACUACUGGGUGAGAAAACGUAAAAACUGCAGGGGGCCAUCCCUCAUUCCUCAGAUAAAACAAGAGAAAAGAGAUGGCUCUACCAACAAUGACCCUUAUGUUGCCUUUCGGAGAAGAACAGAGAAAAUGCAAACUCGAAAGAAUCGUAAGAAUGAUGAAGCCUCUUAUGAAAAGAUGUUGAAACUGAGACGAGAAUUUAGUAGAGCCAUAACAAUUUUGGAAAUGAUUAAGAGAAGAGAGAAAACAAAACGAGAAUUAUUGCACUUAACCUUAGAAGUUGUGGAGAAAAGGUAACAUUGCUCCUGUUACAACAGUAAAAUGACAACUUUACCAAAUGAUGGGCAAAAUGAACCAAAAGAUUUUUAGGGGGGAACAGGUUAAGCUUUAUGACAGUUGAUAUUGAUUCUGUAAGAAUUUAUAUUUUUUAAAGAUUUGUGGUUACUAGUUUUUAUAGAUUAAGUUAUCAAUUUGGAUUGCAGAUUUUGGGAGAGUUUUGUGUAUACUGUAGAUCCUAUACUUAAUUUUGUUUUGGCAGAAUCAUUGAAUUUUAUUUAGUAAAGAACUCUAGUGAUCAU